UACGGAGGAUGCGAGCGUUAUCCGGAUUUAUUGGGUUUAAAGGGUGCGUAGGCGGAUCGUUAAGUCAGUGGUCAAAUUGAGGGGCUCAACCCCUUCCCGCCAUUGAAACUGGCGAUCUUGAGUGGUAGAGAAGUAUGCGGAAUGCGUGGUGUAGCGGUGAAAUGCAUAGAUAUCACGCAGAACCCCGAUUGCGAAGGCAGCAUGCCGGCUUCCGACUGACGCUGAAGCACGAAAGCGUGGGGAUCGAACAGG
rnacentral:rRNA from 1 species